rnacentral:rRNA from 1 species
CGGGACUGACUGCUAUCGGAUGAUACUAAGCCAUGCGAGUCUUUGUAGUAAUACAAGGCAGACGGCUCAGUAACACGUAGUCAACCUACCCUAUGGACGAGAAUAAUCUCGGGAAACUGAGCAUAAUUCUUGAUAGAUCAUAAUGCCUGGAAUGGUUUAUGGUUAAAAUGAUUCGUCGCCAUAGGAUGGGACUGCGGCCUAUCAGCUUGUUGGUGAGGUAAUGGCCCACCAAGGCGAUUACAGGUACGGGCUCUGAGAGGAGAAGCCCGGAGAUGGGUACUGAGACACGGACCCAGGCCCUAUGGGGCGCAGCAGGCGAGAAAACUUUGCAAUGUGCGAAAGCACGACAAGGUUAAUCCGAGUGAUUUCUGCUAAAGAAAUCUUUUGUCAGUCGUAAAACCACUGGCGAAUAAGGGGUGGGCAAGUUCUGGUGUCAGCCGCCGCGGUAAAACCAGCACCUCAAGUGGUCAGGAUGAUUAUUGGGCCUAAAGCAUCCGUAGCCGGCUUUGUAAGUUUUCGGUUAAAUCCAUGUGCUCAACGCAUGGGCUGCCGAAAAUACUGCAUGGCUAGGGAGUGGGAGAGGUAGACGGUACUCAGUAGGAAGGGGUAAAAUCCUUUGAUCUAUUGAUGACCACCUGUGGCGAAGGCGGUCUACCAGAACACGUUCGACGGUGAGGGAUGAAAGCUGGGGGAGCAAACCGGAUUAGAUACCCGGGUAGUCCCAGCUGUAAACGAUGCAGACUCGAUGAUGCAUUGGCAUAAUAGCCAAUGCAGUGUCGCAGGGAAGCCGUUAAGUCUGCCGCCUGGGAAGUACGUACGCAAGUAUGAAACUUAAAGGAAUUGGCGGGGGAGCACCACAAGGGGUGAAGCCUGCGGUUCAUUGGAUUCA